rnacentral:rRNA from 1 species
AACGAACGCUGGCGGCAUGCCUAACACAUGCAAGUCGAACGAGACCUUCGGGUCUAGUGGCGCACGGGUGCGUAACGCGUGGGAACCUGCCCUUAGGUUCGGAAUAACUCCCCGAAAGGGGUGCUAAUACCGGAUAAUGUCUUCGGACCAAAGAUUUAUCGCAUUUGGAUGGGCCCGCGUUGGAUUAGCUAGUUGGUAGGGUAAAAGCCUACCAAGGCGACGAUCCAUAGCUGGGCUGAGAGGAUGAUCAGCCACACUGGGACUGAGACACGGCCCAGACUCCUACGGGAGGCAGCAGUGGGGAAUAUUGGACAAGGGGCGAAAGCCUGAUCCAGCAAUGCCGCGUGAGUGAUGAAGGCCUUAGGGUUGUAAAGCUCUUUUACCCGGGAUGAUAAUGACAGUACCGGGAGAAUAAGCUCCGGCUAACUCCGUG